rnacentral:rRNA from 1 species
CUACGGGAGGCAGCAGUGAGGGAUAUUGGGCAAUGCCCGCAAGGGUGACCCAGCAACGCCGCGUGGAGGAUGAAUGCUGUAAGGUUGUAAACUCCUGUUAGAGGGGAAGAAUUCUACCGAUUGGAUCGGUAUUUGACUGUACCCUCAGAGAAAGCCCCGGCUAACUACGUGCCAGCAGCCGCGGUAAUACGUAGGGGGCAAGCGUUGUCCGGAUUUACUGGGUGUAAAGGGCGCGCAGGCGGGAUAAAAAGUCAGAGGUGAAAUCCUACAGCUUAACUGUGGAACUGCCUUUGAUACUUUUAUUCUUGAGUUCGGAAGAGAGAGACGGAAUUCCAGGUGUAGUGGUGAAAUACGUAGAUAUCUGGAAGAACACCAGUUGCGAAGGCGGUCUCUUGGUCCGAUACUGAUGCUGAGGCGCGAAAGCGUGGGGAGCAAACAGGAUUAGAUACCCCAGUAGUCC